rnacentral:lncRNA from 1 species
AAAUGAUCUGGUGCAUUCAAGUCCAGACAGGAGAAGGAUUCUAGAAUUGAGGUGGAAGCAAACCCAUGGCAGGCAUCUCCUUGGUGUGGCAGAAUAAUGAAGUAAAAAGCAGAAAUGAAUCCAGGGUCAUAAUAUAGUGUUUGAAUGCCCAGGACCUGGAGGUAAGAGUGAACAGCAUUCCCCAGGGAUGG